rnacentral:rRNA from 1 species
AGCUCCAAUAGCGUAUAUUAAAGUUGUUGCGGUUAAAAAGCUCGUAGUUGGAUUUCUGCAUGGAAGGAGCGGUCUGCCUUUUGGGUUUGUAACUGUAACUUUCGUGCAUCUUUCUGAUGAAACGUUCUUCACUUAAUUGUGGGGGCGCAUGACUCAGAACUUUUACUUUGAGGAAAUGAGAGUGUUUCAAGCAGGCAAAUGCCUUGAAUACGUUAGCAUGGAAUAAUAGCAUCGGACCAUCGUCCAGCUGUUGGUGUCUGGGCGAAGGUAAAGGUGAAUAGGGAUUGUUGGGGGCAUUCGUAUUUAACUGUCAGAGGUGAAAUUCUUGGAUUUGUUGAAGACGGACCACUGCGAAAGCAUCUGCCAAAGAUGUUCUCA